rnacentral:rRNA from 1 species
UACGAAGGGGGGCUAGCGUUGCUCGGAAUCACUGGGCGUAAAGCGCACGUAGGCGGCUUUCUAAGUCAGGGGUGAAAUCCUGGAGCUCAACUCCAGAACUGCCUUUGAUACUGGAGAGCUUGAGUCCGGAAGAGGUGAGUGGAACUCCGAGUGUAGAGGUGAAAUUCGUAGAUAUUCGGAAGAACACCAGUGGCGAAGGCGGUUCUCUGGGCAUUACCUGACGCUGAGGAGCGAAAGUGUGGGGAGCGAACAGG